rnacentral:lncRNA from 10 species
GGCAGUUCCACAAACAAAGAUGGUUUAAUAGAUUUCAGCAUGUUUCCACUUGACAAUGUUAUACGAAAAUAGAAUCUUUAUUAAAAUAGCAAGGCAUAACAAUCACUGCUACUCAGGAAACACUGUGUUUAUUCUUUUUAAUCAUCAAAAUCAAUGACUUUGGGCAAGACCUGUGAAAUCUCAGAGCCUGUUUCUCCAUCUGGAGAACAGGCAGGUAGGGCAUUGCCAGCUCCCUGUGAGUGGGGGCCACUGGUGGGAGGAGAUGGCCCUGGUCGCCCAUGGGAUGAGAAACUUACUCCUGCUUCUGUCCCUGGAGAAGGUCAGGGAGAUGCCAGUGUGGCCUUAAGGCAAUUCUAACACUUGCUUAUCUCGUUUUGUAACAGAGAAGAGAGAGCUCUCAGCCUUGGCCACACCAGCAUGGAGCCCCCUUCCCCAGCGAAUUUAUUUUUCAUGGUCACUUUCUAUUUUUGGCAGUGAGUGAUACAUGUUAUCCACUAUUGGCAGCAAUUGGGGGGAAAAAAAGUUCAUUUUAAAAACAAAGUUUAGGCCGGGCAUGGUGGCUCAUGCCUGUAAUCCUAGCACUUUGGGAGGCCCAGGCAGGCAAAUCACGAGGUCAGGAGUUCGAGACCAGCCUGACCAACAUGGGGAAACCCCGUCUCUACUAAAAAUACAAAAAUCAGUUGGGCGUGGUGGUGUGCGCCUGUAAUCUCAGCUACUUGGGAAGCUGAGGCAGAAGCAUUGCUUAAACCCAGGAGGUGGAGGUUGUGGUGAGCUGAGAUCGUGCCAUUGCACUCCAGCCUGGGCAAUAAGCGUGAAACUCCGUCUCAAAAAAAAAAAAAAAAGUUUAAAAAGCGAGUCUGUUUAAAGGAGAAUAUUUGGUAAACAACAAUAUUAAAAUAUAGCAAAUAAUAGUAACAAUAAUCACAAUGGUAAGGAAACACUUCAUUAGAUCAACUUAAGAGUAUUUUAUUCUUGGCUGGGCGCGGUGGCUCACACCUGUAAUCCCAGCACUUUGGGAGGCCGAGGCGGGCAGAUCACGAGCUCAGGAGAUCAAGACCAUCCUGGCUAAUACGGUGAAAUCCCAUCUCUACUAAAAAUCCAAAAAUUAGCCGGGUGUGGUGGCGGGUGCCUGUAGUCCCAGCUACUCAGGAGGCUGAGGCAGGAGAAUGGUGUGAACACGGGAGGCAGAGCUUGCAGUGAGCCGAGAUCACGCCACUGCACUCUAGCCUGGGCAGCAGAGCGAGACUCCAUCUCAAAAAAAAAAAAAAAAAAAGAGUAUUUCAUUCUUGCCACUGAGCUUAAAAAGAAAGAAAGAAAGAAAGAGUAUUCCUAACAUAUGUCCAGUAAUUUUGAUUCUUAAGCAAGGGAUGAAGAAAUACAAUGGCAUCCAGGUAACUUCCUAACUAGCGCAUAGCAGGUAGCUAACCCACUCAUCUCUCCCUCUUUUCUUUAUAGCUUCUAUUUUUUUUAAAGAGAAAAAUAACGAUUAAAACAAGGGCAGGUUUAAAUAAUCGUCUCCUGAGCUGCACUUCAGUAUCUCAGGUAACAGCUGGAGCUGCCUGGUGGGAGCACAUCUUUUCCUUGAGUGUAAUUCACUAAUGACUGUGGUUCCAAGGAGGUGCGACCUUUAAAGGGAAUUGGCCCUUCUUUGAAGGCAGGUGAGAAUCUAGUCUCAGUGACAACCCAGCCUGAUUUGGAAGGGGGGAGUCAUAAGGGUUUUCGCCCAGCACACCAGGGUUGCAGCCUGCGCAAGACCUUCCAUAGCUAUUUCUGCCGGCUUGCUUCCUUCCCUUCCCAGCCACGAUGAGGCAGCUGAGGGUUGCCACGGAAACCGGCUCUGUCCUCCCACUGGAGGCUGCCAGCUCUGAUUUCCUGCAGAGUUAAGAAGGAGGCGGCAGUGGGGGUCACCCAGGCUGGGUUGGACCAAUUAGCUGGUCCCCACCACCUCUUACAAUGUCACUUCUAAGAGUUAGAACAGGGUCUCACACUCAGAUGCCUUCAGGUCCAGGAGGCGCUGUGAAUGCAGAAGCAGACCCGGUCAGAACCCUGGUGAAGCCGAGAGCACAUGUCCUGCAUAAGGGAGGCGGCUGCCACUCAGCUCUGGCCAAGAGUUACCCUUGGGAAUGUGAGCCCAGUGUGGCCAGAUAUACCAAGUUUUCAAGAGAAGCUGGACAUUUUGAAUGAACUCUCCCAAAGAUGAUAACAACUAAGGCAUUUUUUUAAGUGAAGUCCAAACAAAACACGUCUGCAGACUGGAUCGUGAUCACAGUUGGGGCUUCUGCACUAGAAUGCAUGAAAUCGGCACCUUCUUUUUUGGCUUGAUCAGUCUAAGGAGUCCUGGCUGGCUCCUUCCAGCCAUCUUGUCUGGGCUGUGUCUUCCUUAGCUCCCUACCUGAGUGCUGACACUGAGAAAGCCCAUCCCAUCUGGUGCCUGUCACUCUAGAACAGAGAACUCCACUCCUCAGAGCCCAGUGUUUGGAGGGUGCCCCUGUUCUGCACCGGGAAUGCAUCAGCCUUGGGGGAAGCUCUCCUGCAUUUUCUCAAGUAGUGUGAGCAAUGGGGCAAUCUGGCAAAUGGGGCCCCAGGGAAGCAGAUCUUCUAAGGGACUCCUUUGGUUUUAGCUAGUUUAAGGAUUAUUGGGGGACUGACUGCUGAAUGACAUCAAUGGACACAAAGGACAUCCUGAGUGGCCUUUCUGUGGCCAGCAUCCGCUUUGACUGG